CCUCUGGUAAGGUCCAUUGCUUGGAUUUUAAAUUGUUGGAGUGCAGCAAGAGGGGUUUGCACAGCUGUGUGCAUAUUUAUAUUUCAAGCUUACAAAGUAAGGCAUAGUGAUUAAUUGUGAUUAAUCAGCUAGUGCCAGAUUCAGCUAUGGACAACCGCCCAGCGCAGCAUCUUGUGGGGGUGACAAGACCGACCCCUCACCCCUCUCACCGCCCAGAUACUUCAAUUGUCUAUGUCUCACUGUAACUUUCAUCCUUCUGUCCAUAGACUAAUGGAUGACAUAGUGAGAUAUUGCCAUCUCACUGUAUCUGCCAACCUUAGGUUUACAGAUAGAGGCACAGAAGGUGUCUCUGUCUGCAAACAUAGUAUAUGGAUAGAGACAGAGGAAUGUAUCUGUCUAUGGAAAUGUCUCUGUGUACCUGAGUAUUAAGUAAAAAUUAAAACUAAUAUCACUGAGCAUUGUUAUUUUUCAGGAAACAGCAUCAAGGGCACAAGCGGGUCCAGCAACGCCUUUUGCCACCUAGAGUAUUGUUUCAUAGGUGAUUCAUAGGCCUCAACCCAGAAAGUGGAACAAAAGCUGCAAAUGCAAAAGUGACAUCAACCAACAGGACGACUUAUGC